rnacentral:lncRNA from 1 species
CGGCUAGUAGAGUAAUAGAAUGUGAUGGCAGAAAGGAAUCUUAAAAAUGAGCUAGUCUAAACUUCCUCCAUAUUCCAAUUUUACAGAUGAGGAAUCUGAGACCCAGAGAGAAGUAAUUUAGCCAAGACCAUACAGUAAGACAAUAUCAGAGUCAGAGCUAGAUCCCUGAUUUCCUGACUUCAGGUCAGUGUGUUUUUUACUGUGCUAAGCUGCCUCCAUGGUUAUAUUUUUUCUCUCAGUUGCCUUAAUUACCCUUUCUUUGUUUUGACAUUGUAUAUAUAUAACCCAAGAAAAAGAGAUAAAGUGCAGGCAUGUUAUUUUGAAAUUGAACAUUUGAAUUUUCUUUGGAUAACAUAGUGGAUGGGUAGAAGGGAGUGUUGGGAAAUAAUUCUCGAUGAAUAUUUCAUGAUUCUGCAUGGUUCAUGUCCUCUGAUCAUUCGCAGUCAAGUUAAGAAUGUUUGUAUCAGGAGAAAUUGCAGGAUAGUAAAGCUUAGAGACAUUUCCCUCCCUGGAAACAGUUGGAAGUAUUAAAGAUAAAGACCUCUUCUUCCUUUCCCCACAGACAUUUACUUACCCAGAGUUAAGAUAAGAUUUCUCUCUCUCCAGAAAGAGGGGAUCACCAGCAGCCCUAUAUAAGACCAAAGUUUCCUGAGUUUGGGCCUCCUUUCCUUCGAUGCAACCUGACCCUUACUGCGUUACCUACCCCGUGAGGAUUUGAGCUCAAGAAACUGGUGCCAAGACAUUGCUCUGACUGCUGCUUCUGCUAAGAAAUGCUGCAAUUCUACCAGACUAUCAAACUGCCAUGUGAAAAUCUAGGCACAGCACGGCAUUGGCAGAUUGUACAGCCCCUCCUCCAUCUCUCUCUGAACAAACCAAAACUGCUAGGUACAGGACCAGUCCCUUAGGCUAACAAUUUAUUAUCUAAUCCACCCAGUUGCCUUCAUGAGUCUACUCACAGGAGCCUUCAUAAGCAGAAAACGUUCUCCCACUGAAGACAGAAGAGGUGAGGAGGAGGAAAUGUCAGAGAGAUUCUGAGAACUUGAUCCACUUUGAAGAUGAUGGAAGAGGGUCACAAGCCAAGGAAUGUGGUUGGUCUUCAGAAGCUAAGAACAACCUCCAGCCAACAGCCAGCAUUGAAUUGGGGACCUCAGUUCCGUAAGCACAAUUCAAGGAACUGGAUUCUGUCAGCAGCCUCAAUGAACUUGGAAGCAGAAUCUUCUCCAUAGCCCCCAGUAAGCAACACAGAUCUGCUGACACCUUGAUUUUAGCUCAGUGAGAGCCAAGUCAAAUUUUACAUCAUACAAAACUGUGAUAUAAUAAGUGAAGGUUGUUUUAAACUAAUUUGUUACAGCAGCAAUAUAAAAU